rnacentral:rRNA from 1 species
AACGAACGCUGGCGGCAGGCUUAACACAUGCAAGUCGAACGGAUGUAGCAAUACAUUAGUGGCGCACGGGAGAGUAACGCGUGGGAACCUACCCUUUGGUCUGGGAUAACGUCGGGAAACUGACGCUAAUACCGGAUAAUCCCUAUGGGGCAAAGAUUUAUUGCCGAAGGAUGGGCCCGCGUUGGAUUAGCUAGUUGGUGAGGUAAUGGCCCACCAAGGCUACGAUCUAUAGCUGAUCUGAGAGGAUGAUCAGCCUCAUUGGGACUGAGACACGGCCCAAACUCCUACGGGAGGCAGCAGUGGGGAAUAUUGGACAAUGGGGGAAACCCUGAUCCAGCCAUGCCGCGUGAGUGAUGAAGGCCUUCGGGUUGUAAAGCUCUUUUGGUAGGGACGAUAAUGACGGUACCUACAGAAUAAGCUCCGGCUAACUUCGUGCCAGCCGCCGCUGUAA